rnacentral:rRNA from 1 species
AUUGAACGCUGGCGGCAGGCCUAACACAUGCAAGUCGAACGGUAGCACAGAGAGCUUGCUCUCGGGUGACGAGUGGCGGACGGGUGAGUAAUGUCUGGGAAACUGCCUGAUGGAGGGGGAUAACUACUGGAAACGGUAGCUAAUGCCGCAUAACGUCGCAAGACCAAAGAGGGGGACCUUCGGGCCUCUUGCCAUCAGAUGUGCCCAGAUGGGAUUAGCUAGUAGGUGGGGUAACGGCUCACCUAGGCGACGAUCCCUAGCUGGUCUGAGAGGAUGACCAGCCACACUGGAACUGAGACACGGUCCAGACUCCUACGGGAGGCAGCAGUGGGGAAUAUUGCACAAUGGGCGCAAGCCUGAUGCAGCCAUGCCGCGUGUAUGAAGAAGGCCUUCGGGUUGUAAAGUACUUUCAGCAGGGAGGAAGGUGUUGUGGUUAAUAACCGCAGCAAUUGACGUACC